GGUGAUCAAUUCUCAUUCAUUGUAAAGAAAGCGAAAUCAAGUGGGGGAAUCCCUUUCUUCAUAUAUUUUUGUAUGUAGCGAGAAAUAGCCGACAUUUAUGCGGAUUAUCGGGUUAGAAGUAGUUCCCCAGGUUCAUCAUCCCCUUCUAUUUAGCGUAUAAAUUAACAUCAAGUUUUUUCAAAUGCAUUCGUCUUUGCUCUGGUUUCAUUCGACAAGUAACUCGCUCAACACUUCUUCAUGAAAUUCAGCGUUUUUGUAUUCGCGUUGGUGGUUUUGUCUGCAUUUGUAAAUAAUGCAGAAGCGAAAUGGAAAGGUUGGAAAAAAAUUGAAGAAGCUGGGAAAAGGGUGCUUAAGGCUGCCGAAAAGGUUUUACCUGUCGCUCAAGGCUAUGUAGGAGUAGCAGCAGCUGUAGGAAAAAAGUAAUUGAUCAAAUUAUUGCACUAAAGAUUGUCUUAUUUAUGUAUUUUUAUUGAUAAUAUUUUUUGUAAAUAAACUACAAAACAGAAGAA